rnacentral:rRNA from 1 species
UACGUAGGGUGCAAGCGUUGUCCGGAAUUAUUGGGCGUAAAGAGCUCGUAGGCGGUUUGUCGCGUCGAAUGUGAAAACCCGGGGCUCAACCCCGGGCCUGCAUUCGAUACGGGCAGACUAGAGUUCGGUAGGGGAGUCUGGAAUUCCUGGUGUAGCGGUGAAAUGCGCAGAUAUCAGGAGGAACACCAAUGGCGAAGGCAGCUCACUGGGACGAUACUGACGCUGAGACGCGAAAGCGUGGGGAUCAAACAGG